rnacentral:lncRNA from 1 species
GCGUAAUGCAACGUUCUAGGAAAGAGAGUAUUUCUUCUGGGUGUGGCCAACCCGGAUUUGUAGUUCCCAGGCCGGUGUUCCCGUAUGGUCUCACUCUGUCAUGCAUGAUGGACUGCAGUGGUGCAAUCAUGGCUCACUGUAGCUUCGACCACCCUGGCUCCGGUCAUCAUCCUACCUCAGCCUCCCAGGUAUGUGGGAUUACAGGAACUGGGAUCCUAAAAAUUAUGGAACGAAUUGUAGAAACUCAAGCAACUUUCUCCAAAGCCUAGGGUUCAGCAAGAGUAAGCAAGAGGCACUGAGCCGCUGGAGUCUGCACAUUGAUAAAUUUACUUACAGUCGUAAAUAAAUUGCAUCAUCUUCAGCUAGUAACACAGAGUCUAAUUUUUAUAGCGGCAUACUUGCCUCCACGACUUUCCUAGACACCAGAAAGAAAGGCGAGAGCCAGCCUUAGCCUAAUCAAGAACCAUGAUCCAAAAAGGAGUGGGAGGAACCUAGCGGCCACGUGGGAAUCCCAGCCCUCCUAUUAAGCCUACCCUCUUUGCAAAUUGUGACUGUGAGCUCCUGGUUUACAGAAAUAUAUCCCAGAACUCAAGCAACAUGAGCCACUAUAAUUGUCUCUGGAAGGUGACCCAUUUGCAGAUAGGGACUUCCCUGAAGGUUGGGGCCCUCAUGAGCUAUGCUUUCCACCAAGUUGUCUCUAUAAGGACCAGUUCCAGGACCUCAGGGAGGAAAUUUCACUUUCUGCCUUGGUGGAAUGUGAAGUGAGUGGCUCCCCGGCCACACCCCACCCUCCAUAAAAUAGAAGGUAAAUCCCAACUGCCAAAAGCUUUUUGUCCUCCUCUCAGGGAUACUAAUUAAAGCAGUUGGGCUACUUUUUCAUGCAUUUCAUCUCAAGUUGUCUUUCUGCCUAUCUCCUGAGCCCAGCGAAAGAGUUCCUUAAAAUAACCCUCAAACCUCUGUAGUAAAGGACCACACAAAUAACGAAUGCCAUGAAAAAACAGGGCUAGAGGUUUCAGAGGAUGAGAAAGGAAGAGCAGCCAGAACACUGGCUGUCUAGGUAUGCUACUGGUGCCUGACUCUGCACCUGUGUGUGUCUGUGUGCUGUGUUCCAAUGGCAGAGCAUCGGGGCCACCAGAACUCUCUCAGCUACCGCACAUGGAGAGGGAGGAGUGAUAAAGAGAAAUCAAGAAACUCAGUUUCUUUGAAAUGGAAAUCAAUAAACUCAGUUUCCUCAAAGUUCAAAAUACAUGAGACUGCCUACCCUCCUUGGAAGGCAAGGU